ACGCUCGACACCUACGGGGGCAGCAGUGGGGAAUAUUGCACAAUGGGGGAAACCCUGAUGCAGCGACGCCGCGUGAGCGAAGAAGUAUCUCGGUAUGUAAAGCUCUAUCAGCAGGGAAGAAGAUGACGGUACCUGACUAAGAAGCACCGGCUAAAUACGUGCUAGCAGCCGCGGUAAUCUGAGCGGGCUGGCAAGGC
rnacentral:rRNA from 1 species